rnacentral:rRNA from 1 species
UACGGAGGGGGCUAGCGUUGUUCGGAAUUACUGGGCGUAAAGCGCACGUAGGCGGCUUUGUAAGUUAGAGGUGAAAGCCCGGAGCUCAACUCCGGAAUUGCCUUUAAGACUGCAUCGCUAGAACUGUGGAGAGGUGAGUGGAAUUCCGAGUGUAGAGGUGAAAUUCGUAGAUAUUCGGAAGAACACCAGUGGCGAAGGCGACUCACUGGACACAUAUUGACGCUGAGGUGCGAAAGCGUGGGGAGCAAACAGG